ensembl:lncRNA
GCGAGAGAGAGGAAAGGAGAGCGAGAGGAAAGGAGCGAGAGGAAAGGAGAGCGAGAGGAAAGGAGAGAGAGAGAGGGGAGGGUAGAGAGAGAGGAAAGGAGAGCGAGAGAGAGGAAGGUAGAGCGAGAGGAAAGGAGAGCGAGAGAGGGGAUGGUAGAGAGAGAGAGGAAAGGAGAGCGAGAGAGAGGAAAGGAGAGCGAGAGAGGGGAGGGUAGAGAGAGAGGGUAGGGUAGAGAGAGAGAGGGGAGGGUAGAGAGAGAGGAAAGGAGAGCGAGAGAGAGGAAAGGAGAGCGAGAGAGGGGAGGGUAGAGAGAGAGGGUAGGGUAGAGAGAGAGGGGAGGGAAGAGAGAGAGGAAAGGAGAGCGAGAGAGAGGAAGGUAGAGCGAGAGGAAAGGAGAGCGAGAGAGGGAGGGGUAGAGAGAGAGAGGAAAGGAGAGCGAGAGAGAGGAAAGGAGAGCGAGAGAGGGGAGGGUAGAGAGAGAGGGGAGGGUAGAGAGAGAGGGGAGGGUAGAGAGAGAGAGGAAAGGAGAGUGAGAGCGAGAGAGAGGAAGGUAGAGAUAGAGGGGAGGGUAGAGAGAGAGAGAGGGAGGGUAGAGAGAGAGAGAGGGGAGGGUAGAGAGAGAGAGAGGGGAGGGUAGAGAGAGAGAGAGGGGAGGGUAGAAAGAGAGAGGGGAGGAUAGAGAGAGAGGGGAAAGGAGAGGAGAGAGAGGAAG